AUUGAACGCUGGCGGCAUGCUUUACACAUGCAAGUCGGACGGCAGCGCGGGCUUCGGCCUGGCGGCGAGUGGCGAACGGGUGAGUAAUACAUCGGAACGUGCCCAGUAGUGGGGGAUAGCUCGGCGAAAGCCGGAUUAAUACCGCAUACGACCUGAGGGUGAAAGCGGGGGACUUUAGGGCCUCGCGCUAUUGGAGCGGCCGAUGGCAGAUUAGCUAGUUGGUGGGGUAAAGGCCUACCAAGGCGACGAUCUGUAGCUGGUCUGAGAGGACGACCAGCCACACUGGGACUGAGGCACGGCCCAGACUCCUACGGGAGGCAGCAGUGGGGAAUUUUGGACAAUGGGCGCAAGCCUGAUCCAGCAAUGCCGCGUGUGUGAUGAAGGCCUUCGGGUUGUAAAGCACUUUUGGCAGGAACGAAAAGUGCCGUGCUAAUACCACGGUACGAUGACGGUACCUGCAGAAUAAGCACCGGCUAACUACGUG
rnacentral:rRNA from 1 species